AGCGAACGUUUGCGGCGGGCUUAACACAUGCAAGUCGAACGAGAAUCCCUUCGGGGAGGAAAGUGGCGCACGGGUGCGUAACACGUGGAUAACCAACCCAUUGGUUUGGGACAACACCGGGAAACUGGUGCUAAUACCAGAUGUGUCGCAGCUGUCUUCAGGCGGUUGCGAGAAAGGCCCGCAAGGGUCGCCAACGGACGGGUCCGCGUCCCAUCAGCUAGUUGGUGAGGUAAUGGCUCACCAAGGCAAAGACGGGUAGCUGGUCUGAGAGGAUGAUCAGCCACACUGGAACUGAGACACGGUCCAGACUCCUAC
rnacentral:rRNA from 1 species